rnacentral:rRNA from 1 species
GACGAACGCUGGCGGCGUGCUUAACACAUGCAAGUCGAGCGGUAAGGCCCUUUCGGGGGUACACGAGCGGCGAACGGGUGAGUAACACGUGGGUGACCUGCCCUCAGCUCUGGGAUAAGCCUGGGAAACUGGGUCUAAUACUGGAUAUGACUCCACGGUGCAUGUCGUGGGGUGGAAAGCCUUGUGCGGCUGAGGAUGGGCCCGCGGCCUAUCAGCUUGUUGGUGGGGUGAGGCCUACCAAGGCGACGACGGGUAGCCGGCCUGAGAGGGCGACCGGCCACACUGGGACUGAGACACGGCCCAGACUCCUACGGGAGGCAGCAGUGGGGAAUCUUGCGCAAA